CCGAUGAAGGACGUUACUAACGACGAUAUGCUUUGGGUAGCUGUAAGUAAGCGUUGAUCCAGAGAUUUCCGAAUGGGGGAACCCAGCAUGAGUUAUGUCAUGUUAUCGACAUGUGAAUUCAUAGCAUGUCAGAAGGCAGACCCGGAGAACUGAAACAUCUUAGUACCCGGAGGAAGAGAAAGAAAAAUCGAUUCCCUGAGUAGCGGCGAGCGAAACGGGAAGAGCCCAAACCAACAAGCUUGCUUGUUGGGGUUGUAGGACACUCUAUACGGAGUUACAAAAGAACAUGUUAGACGAAUCAUCUGGAAAGAUGAAUCAAAGAAGGUAAUAAUCCUGUAGUCGAAAACAUAUUCUCUCUUGAGUGGAUCCUGAGUACGACGGAGCACGUGAAAUUCCGUCGGAAUCUGGGAGGACCAUCUCCUAAGGCUAAAUACUCUCUAGUGACCGAUAGUGAACCAGUACCGUGAGGGAAAGGUGAAAAGUACCCCGGAAGGGGAGUGAAAGAGAACUUGAAACCGUGUGCUUACAAGUAGUCAGAGCCCGUUAAUGGGUGAUGGCGUGCCUUUUGUAGAAUGAACCGGCGAGUUACGAUCUGAUGCAAGGUUAAGCAGCAAAUGUGGAGCCGCAGCGAAAGCGAGUCUGAAUAGGGCGUUGAGUAUUUGGUCGUAGACCCGAAACCAGGUGAUCUACCCUUGGUCAGGUUGAAGUUCAGGUAACACUGAAUGGAGGACCGAACCGACUUACGUUGAAAAGUGAGCGGAUGAACUGAGGGUAGCGGAGAAAUUCCAAUCGAACUUGGAGAUAGCUGGUUCUCUCCGAAAUAGCUUUAGGGCUAGCCUCAAGUGAUGAUUAUUGGAGGUAGAGCACUGUUUGGACGAGGGGCCCCUCUCGGGUUACCGAAUUCAGACAAACUCCGAAUGCCAAUUAAUUUAACUUGGGAGUCAGAACAUGGGUGAUAAGGUCCGUGUUCGAAAGGGAAACAGCCCAGACCACCAGCUAAGGUCCCCACAUAUACGUUAAGGGGAAAAGGAUGUGGCGUUGCCAAGACAACUAG
rnacentral:rRNA from 1 species